rnacentral:rRNA from 1 species
UAGGGAAUCUUCCGCAAUGGGCGAAAGCCUGACGGAGCAACGCCGCGUGAGUGAUGAAGGUCUUCGGAUCGUAAAACUCUGUUAUUAGGGAAGAACAAAUGUGUAAGUAACUAUGCACGUCUUGACGGUACCUAAUCAGAAAGCCACGGCUAACUACGUGCCAGCAGCCGCGGUAAUACGUAGGUGGCAAGCGUUAUCCGGAAUUAUUGGGCGUAAAGCGCGCGUAGGCGGUUUUUUAAGUCUGAUGUGAAAGCCCACGGCUCAACCGGGGAGGGUCAUUGGAAACUGGAAAACUUUAGUGCAGAAGAGGAAAGUGGAAUUCCAUGUGUAGCGGUGAAAUGCGCAGUGAUAUGGAGGAACACCAGUGGCGAAGGCGACUUUCUGGUCUGUAACUGACGCUGAUGUGCGAAAGCGUGGGGAUCAAACAGG